GACGAACGCUGGCGGCGUGCUUAACACAUGCAAGUCGAACGGAAAGGCCCUGCUUUUGUGGGGUGCUCGAGUGGCGAACGGGUGAGUAACACGUGAGUAACCUGCCCUUGACUUUGGGAUAACUUCAGGCAACUGGGGCUAAUACCGGAUAGGAGCUCCUGCUGCAUGGUGGGGGUUGGAAAGUUUCGGCGGUUGGGGAUGGACUCGCGGCUUAUCAGCUUGUUGGUGGGGUAGUGGCUUACCAAGGCUUUGACGGGUAGCCGGCCUGAGAGGGUGACCGGCCACAUUGGGACUGAGAGACGGCCCAGACGCCUACGGGAGGCAGCAGUGGGGAAUAUUGCACAAUGGGCGGAAGCCUGAUGCAGCAACGCCGCGUGCGGGAUGACGGCCUUCGGGUUGUAAACCGCUUUCGCCUGUGACGAAGCGUGAGUGACGGUAAUGGGUAAAGAAGCACCGGCUAACUACGUG
rnacentral:rRNA from 1 species